GCAAUACGGAGCGGCAGACGGGAGAGUAACACGUGGGAACGUGCCCUUCAGUUCGGAACAACCCAGGGAAACUUGGGCUAAUACCGGAUACGUCCGUAAGGAGAAAGAUUUAUCGCUGAAGGAUCGGCCCGCGUCUGAUUAGCUUGUUGGUGAGGUAACGGCUCACCAAGGCGACGAUCAGUAGCUGGUCUGAGAGGAUGAUCAGCCUCACUGGGACUGAGACACGGCCCAGACUCCUACGGGAGGCAGCAGUGGGGAAUAUUGGACAAUGGGCGCAAGCCUGAUCCAGCCAUGCCGCGUGGGUGAUGAAGGCCCUAGGG
rnacentral:rRNA from 1 species